rnacentral:lncRNA from 1 species
UGAGCUGGAGGUCUUUCAUAAGUGGGAUCAUGAAAACAUGAAAGCAUUUUUUUCUCAGCUUAAGAAGAUGAAAAACCUUCACACAUUUCACUUCAACAGCCUGAGUCCAGGAGUGUACACUUCACCCUCAAAAAACCAGUCCUAUUCCCGUAUCUACGCUUUACACUUAGGACAGCUGGAAAGUCUCCGGGAGCUUCAUAUGGAUGCAGUGUUCUUUUUGGAAGGAACUCUGCAUAAGAUUCUCAGGAGCCAGACCCCCUUGGAAUCCCUCUCCUUGAAUUCAAGUCCACUGAAGGAAUCUGACCUGCAGCAUAUGUCCCAGUGUGCAAGCACAAGCCAGCUCAAGUCCCUUACUCUGAGGAGGAUUUCGAUGAAGUUAUUCAGUCCUGAGACCCUCCAUGUUCUUCUACACAAACUGUCCAGCACCCUGGAGACUCUGGUCCUAGAGCACUGUGACAUCACAGACCCCCAGCUCCUUGCCAUCUUGCCUGCCCUGAGCUGCUGCUCCCAGCUCAAGACUUUCAGUUGCUAUGGGAACCACUUUUCCCUAAGCAGCCUGCAUACCCUGCUGCACCUAAAUUCUAGACUGAGUCAGUUAACCCAGGGGCUGUAUCCUGCCCCUCUGGAGAUCUAUGAGUCCAAUAGUCCAACAAGUUUUAUGAACCCUCCGUAAUUUGAACAGGUCUUUGCUGAACUGGCACAAAUUCUGAAGGACAUAAGGCCAUCUCUUGAAGUCCAGAUCUGUACCUACUGUUAUUCAUGUAUGAUAUGCAAAUUCUAUAGACUGAAUCCCAGUGGGAACUGGCAAGUUAGAAAUGAGGAUCCCCAUUGGUUUUGCAUGAGGUGCUUCAUUUUUGUCCCUCCCCUCCGUAUUUAAUAUUUUUUUUUAACUCUAGGUAUCCCUUAAAGCCUCCUACAAUUACAGGUGGGCUUGUUGGUGGUAACUGGAUCAUGUAGAGCCUGGUCAGAAGAGGUGGGUCACUGGGGACAUGGCCUACAAGAAUCGAACUCCCUCAUUCCUCUGUAAAUAUGAGUCUUUACCACAUACACGGCAUGAGUUGUUUUUUCCCUGCCAUGAACCUCUGUCAGGCUUGCCUAUGAACUGUAUUAUAACAUGAAAUGAACCUUUGAU